rnacentral:rRNA from 1 species
UGGCGCCGCGGGAGGGGCAACUUUCCCAUGGGGCCGAGAAUCUAGUCAAACUUGGUCAUUUAGAGGUCGUAAAAGUCGUAACAAGGUUUCCGUAGGUGAACCUG